AUUGGUGCUUGCACCAGAUGACGAGUGGCGCACGGGUGCGUAACGCGUAUGCAAUCUACCUUUUACUAGAGUAUAGCCCAGAGAAAUUUGGAUUAAUCCUCUAUAAUAUCUUUAAGUUUCAUGACUUUUAGAUUAAAGUUUUAACGGUAAAAGAUGAGCAUGCGUCCUAUUAGUUUGUAGGUGAGGUAACGGCUCACCUAGACUACGAUAGGUAGGGGCCCUGAGAGGGGGAUCCCCCACACUGGUACUGAGACACGGACCAGACUCCUACGGGAGGCAGCAGUAAGGAAUAUUGGACAAUGGACGAAAGUCUGAUCCAGCCAUGCCGCGUGCAGGAUGAAAGCCCUAUGGGUUGUAAACUGCUUUUAUACAGGAAGAAACACUCGUACGUGUACGAGCUUGACGGUACUGUAAGAAUAAGGACCGGCUAACUCCGUGCCAGCAGCCGCGGUAAUACGGAGGGUCCGAGCGUUAUCCGGAAUCAUUGGGUUUAAAGGGUCCGCAGGCGG
rnacentral:rRNA from 1 species